ACUAAGACGAAGGGCGUGUACAAGCACGUGAUUCAUUCGGGACUUCCCAGCCCAGAGGGGAAGAGAAACUGCCACAGACCCUGAUGUCAACAGAAAAGUGUUAAGGUUGUUGCUGUGAACGUAGGCAGCCUCUAGCCCGCCUGAGUGAUAAGAUUACAGGGGACAGGCAGAGAGAUGAGGCUAAGAAGAUAUCUUUUCAGAGAUGUGUAACCCCAAGAACCUCAGGAUGAAGUGACCUCUACACGCUUUCCAGAAUAAACCUAUACUUUUGGGUCCUCAAGAAGUAAUUCUUUGGGAAUUCGUGAGUGGGUAUGAAAAGAAGCAGGAUUGUAUGCUGCAAAAGAAAGGACGUAUGCACACAGAGGACGUACAAUACUCUACAAAUAGAAGACCCUUGCUGAUUUUCCCUCUGCGUGAGAAUUUUAUUUGCCUUGACAGCUGGCCUAAUGUCAAACACGCAGUGAAAGUUGUUAAGCGAAAUAGAAACCUUGGUCUUGCAGAUCCAGGCUCCACCCUCCUCCACACUGAAUUGUUCCCUGGGAGGCUGACCUUUAUGAAUUGUGUCUAUGAACUCCCUUUCCCUCUGGCUUCUCACUGGGAUCAGCUGAUGGAAGCACCCGCAGGAGAUUGGAGGCAAGGAAGAGAGUGAGACUGUGGUAUUUUUUCCCUCAGCUCUCUUCCAUCCAGUUCAUCAUGCUCUCUCUACUGAAAGUCAGAUGUCACAUGGUCCUCUCCACACAGCCACCCUCUCCAGCUUCCAGUGACUGAUUCCUUGUCUUGCUUGCUCAGCAUAAGUGUGUAAUGGAUCCUCACUGUUGCUUGCAUGGAGAUGCUGUAUUAUCCUUAUUGGUGCUACUUACUAUGUCAACACCUUUGUAAAUAGUGACUUUCUUAUACUCCCUCAAUUACUGUGUUUGAGUGUGCCAGCUGCUUUUUUUUGGUAGAUAUGCCAACAACUGAGUUUUAUGCAUAAAGGCCUGAAAGUAAAGCGAAUAUUUGAGAUAGGCUAAGUUGAACAGAUCUUGGUUGGUGCAUUAACUGAGAUCCUUACAUCCACCUAGGUUGUUCUGACACCAUCACUGAUCAUGGGUGUUAUCUUUGUUCGUACACAUUAUAUGAUAAUAUCCCAGAGGAUAGGCGCUUACCUAUCCUCUGGGACUUUACAAGGAAAGUACUAAACUUUUUUUUUUCGUUUUACAGUCACACCUGUAGCAUAUGGA